AUCUCAAUAAAAAAAAUAAAGUGAAUUUUCCUCCAUCUUGUAAGGGCGAAAAGCCCCCUACCAUGUCUGAAUGAACAUUCAUGCAUGGGCUUGAGGGCUUGGGAAAAAGACAGGGCUUGGCCACACAGUGCAGGUAGGCCCAGUGAUCCUAUGAGAGGGGCCAGGAGGUGGUAGGUCCCCUGUGGGCAGGAGGUCAAGUAUGUGGUAUUAUACUUGAUGAACCAGGGGAGAGGGCACCAAGAACAACGAUAUUUAAUUGUAAAAUCUCCACCCUCUGAGGAUAUGUUUUUAGGUCUGGAUGACUAAUUAGACUGGGAAACAAGGCAGGGAAAGAUGGCCCUGUGCUUCCUCUGCCUGCUGCCUUUGUGGAUGCGUGGGCCGCCAGCUUCAGUCCUGCUUUUCUUUCUGAUGGCCCUUGUUAUUUAUGCAUAAAUAUUUAACUACACAUUUAAAUGUCUUACUGCAUGGCUAGAAUUAGUUAUAUAUAUUCUUUAAUAUAAGAAAAAUAAGAGCAGCUCCGAGGGCAGGCAUGGUGGCUCAUGCCUGUAAUCCCAGCACUUUGGGAGGCCGAGGCAGGUGGUUCAUCUAAGGUCUGGAGUUCGAGACCAGCCUGGCCAACAUAGCGAGAGCAGCUCCGGUGGCGGGAGGAGUGGCAGCGGCCAGGCAGCCCAGCUUCGCGAAGGCUGUAGGCACACCGCGGCCAGCAGGCACCUGGCACCCACCUUCCCUGCUGCCAGGAUGCCCAAGAAAAAGGUCAGCUCCACCGAAGGGGCUGCCAUGGAAGAGCCCAAGAGGAGAUCAGCGCAAUUGUCAGCUAAACCUCCUGCAAAAGUGGAAGCGAAGCCGAAAAAGGCAGCAGCGAAGGAUAAAUUUUCAGACACAAAAGUGCAAAAAAAGGGAAAAGGGGAGCAAAGGGAAAACAGGCCGAAGUGGCUAACCAAAAAACUAAAGAAGAUUUACCUGCAGAAAACAGGGGAAACGAAAACUGAGGAGAGUCCAGCCUCUGAUGAAGCAGGAGAUAAAGAAGCCAAGUCUGAUGAAUACCAUAGACCAUGUCUUAUCAGUGGUCCCUGUCUCCCUUCUUUACAAUUCAGAGGAAUUUUUUUUCUUUCUUUUUUUUUUUUUUUGAGACAGAGUCUCGCUCUGUCGCCCAGGCUGCAGUGCAG
rnacentral:lncRNA from 1 species